CGGAAGAUGCUGGGCCACGCAAGUUUCCCUGGGCUUGGUUAACCACCCCAAAGCCCAUUUCCAGAAGGAAAGGGUGUUGAGGAGGAGGGAUAGAAAGUCGAGAAGAGGGCCGGGGUCUUGCUGUGUUACUCAGGCUGGAGUGAAGUAGAGCAUUCACAGCCCACUGCAACCUUGAACACCUGGGCUCAAGCAAUCCUGCCUCAGCCUCCUGAGUAGCUGGGACCACAGAUGUGCACCACCAUGCCCAGCUACAUGUCUUUCUUUUUGGGGGACAGCAGAAACCUGGGCAGAGGAGGAAUCCUGAUACCCAGUUCUGAAACAAAGUGGCAGAAUUUGUAAUACAGAAGAAGGAUCUUGUGACUGGUAUUCUGUUAUCCACAAGAGUAAAUGUUCCCAAAUAAAUAAAACUGGGAUAUGAAA
rnacentral:antisense_RNA from 1 species